rnacentral:rRNA from 1 species
UACGAGGGGGGCGAGCGUUGUUCGGAAUUAUUGGGCGUAAAGGGUGCGUAGGCGGUUUGGUAAGUCUUGUGUGAAAUCUCCAGGCUCAACUUGGAGUCUGCACGAGAAACUGCCGGGCUUGAGUGUGGGAGAGGUGAGUGGAAUUCCCGGUGUAGCGGUGAAAUGCGUAGAGAUGCGGAGGAACACCGAUGGCGAAGGCAGCCCCCUGGGCUGACACUGACGCUCAGGCACGAAAGCGUGGGGAGCAAACAGG